ACCCCCAUCACCCCCAUCACGCCCACCUGCUACAGGGAACCCCCCUCAGCCUGCUGCGGCCCGCCCCGGGCCCCAUGCGUACCGCGCACGGCCCCAUCCUCUUCGCCCCCUACUGACCGGACCGGGCGGUCCCGGCGGGGAGAAGCACACUGUGAAGCCCACGGACCGGUGACACGUUUCACUGAGGCGGACAUUCAUCCAUCCACUCCUUCUUUCUCAUUUCCCCUUCAUCCUCCAGCAGCCUGGCGUCCAUCAGGGGGGGCCGGCCUGGGGGGACGGUCUGCCUAAGGGACGGUCUGCCUAAGGGACAUCUGCCUAAGGGACGUCUGGAGAAAUGCAUGAAAAAAAACACGGAGGUCCUCACACAUCGAUCAUCUUCCUAAGUGUUCAGGCGGUCGGAGCUGUGAGGGACAAAGACCAGGCCGAGCGGAUGACAAUGGGAUCUUUUUUCUUUCAAGGAUUGUUUUUUUCGUUUAACAUGACUGAUGCAAAGCCCUACCUCUUCAACCCCCCCCCCUGCAACCCACUCCUCCGUCCCGGUCUGUCCAACCAACACCUUCUCUUCCUGAGUGUGGGAACGUCCUCCUGUGUCCACCGGCAUCAUUCUAACCUCCACACACCACAUGGACCGGACAAUAUGCACUUUUUAGAUCUGUAUUUUGUGAGCUACGUGUGCGUGCUUUUCCUCUUAAAGGUAUUAGUAUCCGUUUUAGAAGUGAUUGAUACUAGUCAAUAUUUUCUUCUCUGGGAGAGGAAACUCAAGUGAAGGAGGGACGAAUCGUGUCUUAAGGCUGAGACAGCUGACUGAAGGCCAAUGGGGCUGUGAUGAGACCUGAGACAGUGGCUUGGUAAGUGGCUUAGUGAGCGGCUUGCUUAGCGGCUUGCCUAGUGGCCUGCUUCGUGGCUUGCUUAGCGCCUUGCUUCGUGAGUGGCUUGGUGAGGGGCUAAGUGAAUGGCUAUGAGUGGCUAUGUGAGUAGCUGUAGCCGUUUAGGUUCAACCAGCAUUCCUCCCUUCGGUCCUCGAUGGCCGAUCACUAGCAGUGCGUAUGUCUGCGAAGGGACCCAGCCCUCCCCCUUAUGCAGAUCUCAUGGUACCAGCUGUCUCUGUACCUCAUGUUUCAAACAGAAGUGUCUUAAAGGAAUCAUCUGAACACUGUGAACACAACCCAAGGGGCACUAUACUCAUUGUUCCCUGCCAUAACAAUGUUAGGGUAUUCAACUUGUUGUGGAGUUAAUCGCAAUGCAAUAACAUUCCCGACUAACAGGAAUAAUCAGAUUAGUCCCGAAAUAAAAUGUUUGGGCACACUACGUUAUUUAGCAACAGGGGAAAUGCAACUUUGCUAUGCCGACGAUUUAAAAAUAUCGCAACCAUCAGUCAGCCGUGCCAUAAACUUUCCUUUGGACAUUCAACAAUUACACAGGAUCAAAGCCAACUUCAUGGCACUUGCAGGUAUGCCCGGUGUGGUCGGUGCUAUUGACGGGACGCACAUAAAAAUAAUUGCGCCAUCAAAAGACGAGGACGUGUUCGUCAAAAGGAAGAAAGUGCAUUCCAUCAACACGCAGGUUGUUUUUGAUGCAAAUUUUAACAUAGCCUACUGGAUGUUGAUGCAAAGUGGCCUGGAGCUUCAGCUACCCAUGAUUCGCGCAUUUUAAUGGUGUGCGGUCUGAGGCAGCUUUUUGAGAUGUACCAGGUGUCACUUGCUGGAUGACAGUGACUAUCCAUGCAAGACGCGGCUCUAGACACUGUGGCUCUAGACACCCUACCUCAAUCCACAACCGGUCGUGUAUGUUUGUGUGCUCUAGCAUAUGACGUGUAUGUUUGUGUGCUCCUAUGCGUAUGUGCUUUACGCAUAGGACUAAGCGUAAUCUGCGUAAUCACUUGCAUGUUAUACUUUAAUGUUGUGGAGAGAGGAAUUGGGCAGAUGAAACGUCGGUUUCAUGUCCUCCACGGCGAAAUACGCCUCACCCCAGAGAGGGCAAGCACAGUAAUCACUGUAUGUGCCAUUCUACACAACCUCUGCAAGCGGAGGACCAUUCCACAGCCAGACGAUGAUGAUGAUGAUGAUGGCGAUCAACAUGACAAGGAAUUUGGCCGUGUGGUACCGAGUGGACAGGCAUUUAGGGAUCACUUUGAAAACACAUUUUAGGUAAACACCUUGGCACAAAUCAGUCAACACUUAGGUAGUUCAUAACAUUUAUUUUCUUUUAAAUUUUACGUAUUUUUAUUGUUUGCUUUCUCUCUCUCUUGAACGUGCAGGCUACAACGUCAUUAUCGUGGUCUGCACAAAAUUGUCAUCAUGCGUGUAUUCUGCUAACUGCACUAUAACUACUUAAUAGGAAAUAAUUUCUAGCCUAGGCUAUUUCCUUGUUUUUCUGUGAUUCAGUGGGCUCGUCUGAACAACCAUUCACCGAACUGACCGCUUCUAAACUCGUGCACGAGAAUUGACGUAAUCCAUAGCAACGGCGCGUCACUCUUAGUUCACUCUUUGUGAUUUAUCCUUAGUAAGAGUAGGUCUCAGCGGCUUUGUGAAUAACUUUUAAGAAAAAAUUCCCACGUCAAAUGUUUUAGCGCGAGUUAGGAGCACUCCUAGCGGUAAGAUAAAAUGCUUUGUGAAUACGGCCCCAGAACUCUUAGUCAUUAGAUAGAGCACUCGCUCGAGUCUCGAGUGACCGCUACGUAUAACUGCAGCAUGAUGUGCAGUUCCACGGUCGUACGCCCUCAUCUUCCGCUCCGUCGCAAACGAUUCCCUCCCCACACUGAGGGCCCGGCGGCCAAUCACUAUGCUCGUUCUAUUCCCCUUAGGCCACACCCUCUAGCUCUCUCCUUAUGGGCAUAGGUCAAAGGCAGUAGAGUCUGCACCUGACUCAUGCCCUGAGCUCACAUCACUCAGACUGAUGCAUUUCACAUGUUGGGGUACAGGUCACAUGUUGGGGUACAGAUCACAUGUUUGGGUGCAGAUCACAUGUCGGGGAGUAGGUCACAUUUUGCGCUACAGGUCAUAUGUUAUGGUGAAACUCACAUGUUGAGGUGCAGGUCACAUGUCGGGGAGUAGGUCACAUGUUGGGGUACAGGUCACAUGUCGGCUGCAGGUCACAUAUUCGAUUGGAUCUCACAUGUUUGGGUACAGGUCACAUGUUGGUGUGUAGGUCACAUGUUGGGGUGCAGGUCACAUGUUGGGGUACAGAUCACAUGUUUGGGUGCAGAUCACAUGUUGGGGAGUAGGUCACAUGUUGCGCUACAGGUCAUAUGUUAUGGUGAAACUCACAUGUUGAGGUGCAGGUCACAUGUCGGGGAGUAGGUCACAUGGUGGGGUACAGGUCACAUGUCGGCUGCAGGUCUCAUGUUCGAUUGAAACUCACAUGUUUGGGUACAGGUCACAUGUUGGUGUGUAGGUCACAUGUUGGGGUGCAGGUCACACGUUUGGGUACAGGUCACAUGUUGGUGUGUAGGUCACCUGUUGGGGUGCAGGUCACAUGUUUGGGUGCAGGUCACAUUGUGGGGUUCAGACAAUGCUACUCUUAUGGGAUUUGUGACAGGGAAAUAUUAGCAAUACUUAAAAAUACCCUACUCCAGAAAAAAGGUAUAUUGUAUGAUGCAAUAACAGAAAUCGUCUCAAUAUAUUUAAAUGUUACUUAGGGGGCGUGUCAUGACUUGUAAUUGUACACAUGUAGAUUAUUAUAGAAAUGUAAAAGAACAGAGAGAAAAAUCAUUGUUGAUAUUGAAUUAGCUAAAUAAAUGAUUAAAUAAUGUGAACAAUGGCGGUUGUUGUUUAUAUACUUCCCAAUACACACACCUUUAAACCUUCAGGCUGAAUGUUUACUACCUGAUUCACUUAAAACCCAUGUUUACUAGAGCAGGCUGAAUGUUUACUACCUGGUUCACUUAAAACCCAUGUUUACCAUAGCAGGCUGAAUGUUUACUACCUGGUUCACUUAAACCUCAUGUUUAACAGAGCAAGCUGAAUGUUUACUACCUGUUUCAUGUUAACCCCAUGUUUAACAGAGCAGGCUGAAUGUUUACUGCCUGGUUCGAUAAAAUCCCAUGUUUAUUAGAGCAGGCUGAAUGUUUACUACCUGGUUCACUUACAUAGCAGGCUGGAUGUUUACCACCUGGUUCACUUACAUAGCAGGCUGAAUGUUUACUACCCGGUUCACUUAAACCCCAAGAUUAACAGAGCUGGCUACAUUUUUACUACCUGGUUCACUUAACCCCCAUGUUUAACAUAGCAGGUUGAAUGUUUACAACCUGGUUCAUGUAAACCGCUUUUUAACAGGGCAGGCUGAAUGUUUACUAACUGGUUCAAUCAAACCCCAUGUUUAACAAAGCAGGCUGAAUAUUUACUACCUGGUUCACUCAAACUCACCCCAUGUUUAACAGAGCGAGCUGAAUGUUUACUACCUGGUUCACUUAAACCCUAAGUUUAACAGAGCAGGAUGACAGAGGGAAAUUUCAUGACAAAUGUCUGAAAUUCCCCCAGUUCCCCCCCCCUUCCAUUGCACACGUCACUGAAAUACAGAAGUUCAAAAAAUACAUUGCAUACAUCAGUGCUAUUCAACCUCCUUAACAAGUGGGCCGAAAAGGAAAACCACUGGGGGUUCAUGGGCCACACCGAGUAAAACUACGUGAAUGAAUCGCUACAAAUAAAUCGUACUUAGUAGGGCUAACUUAAUAUAUAUAUUACUACUACAUGGAAUAAACUUGUCAGACGCAUUCCUUCCUUCUUCACUUUUAAUCGGAUCAUUAUAAAAGAUUUUGUUCUCACAUAUUUUAGACGCGUAUUUAGAAUUCAACAAUGUUGUUUGAAUCAUCACAAAACAGAACUACUGUACAUAUGAGACAUUUUGAGCCAGUGAGUCAGUGAGAAGGAUUGCACCGCCUUGUUUGCCUAGUUUGGCUCAUCCUGAGACACUCAUGCAGCUUCUCAUAGGUCAUGGAGCAACGUGCCCUUGUUCUGAUGGCAUUCAUAUGAGAAAAGCUAGACUCACACGUAUCGGUUGAGCCAAACAUUGUCAGAAUAAGUGAUGCCAGUUCCUGAUUGUGGGGUACUGAUACUGGCUAGUAUCACCGGCUACACAAAGAAACCUGA